CUGUAAUCCUAGCUACUCGGGAGGUUGAGGCAGGAGAAUUGCUUGAACCCGGGAGGUGGAGGUUACAGUGAGCCAAGAUUACGCCAUUGCACUCCAGCCUGGGCGACAAGAGUGAAACUCUGUCUCAAAAAAAAAAAAAAGAUAAAGGAAAAUGUAUUAUCAUUCCACAAUAACUUCAGAAAAAGGAAAGACUUCUGGGCUGACUUAUUUAGCAACUGAACAAUGUAAGGACUCCAUUUUUUCCAUCUCACAGCUCUAAUAUCCUGGAUAGUGCCUUUACCCUCAAGCUGACAGCAAAUGGCUUUAACGGUGCUAGGUAUCACAACUCUACACAAUGUCCAGAAGAAGAAAAGAAGCUUUCUCUUCUCAGGGUUCUCUCAGCAGUGAGUAAAGUCUUCCUAGUAACCUACUUCCAGACUAUCCUUACUCACAUGUCAUUUGGGUUACAAACCCAUUCCUCAACCACUGUUAGUUAAAAAAUAAAGUCCAUUCCCUAUGCCAAUCAGAUGCACCCCUGGAGCUGAGGAUGGGGCCAGAUUCAUCUCAGGCACAUCGCUAUGAGGGACAACACACAUCUCAAGAAAGUCAGUAUAGUCAUGUGUCACUUAAUGACAGGAAUACGUUCUGAGAAAUGCAUCGUUAGGCAGUUUCAUCGUGUGAACAUCACAGACUGUACUUACACAAACAGGGAUUGUAUAUAUACACUCAGGCUAUAUGGUAUAGCCUACUGCUCCUGGGCUACAAAUCUGUACAGCAUGUUACUGUACUGAAUACCGUAGGCAGUGGUAACACAUGGUAUUUUUAUAUCUAAACAUCU
rnacentral:lncRNA from 1 species